AGAUGCGAUCAUACCAGCACUAAAGCAUCGGAUCCCAUCAGAACUCCGAAGUUAAGCAUGCUUGGGCCAGAGUAGUACUAGGAUGGGUGACUUCCUGGGAAGUCCUCAUGUUGCAUUCC
rnacentral:rRNA from 1 species